UGUGUUUCUGCUGCCCUGCUUGGUGGACUCGCUGUGGGAUUUCUCUGGAGGAGGAGGAAGAGGAAGAGGUGGGUUACAGGAACUCUGCUGGGAGCACCUGAGCUGGGAGCACCUGAUCAGGGGCUCCUGAGACGGGACCAGCAGCCGGCCAAUCAGGACGAGGACCAGGUCACAAGAUGUGACCUCAUCUGUGUCACCGGGCUAUAAGAAGACGCAGGCUGGGGAACAUGAAGUCUCUUCAGUUUUCUGCAAAUUCUUUAGAAAAACAUAUUAAAUACAUUUUUCUUAUAUAAAAAACAUUUAUUUAAACAAGUAUAUUCAGUGGAGAAUAUACUUCACCCUCAUUUUUCACUCACACAAAAAUGAAAGGGAAAGUGUUUUGUAACAUCGCUCAGCGAUAGGCAUUACAAAUGGCUACUGUGGGCAUUACACAGGGGAUUGCUCAUGUUACACCUCCUAAUCAGGAUGAAACAGUGUGGAGCUGUUUCAUCUGCUUAUAUUCAGGAGAGGAGCUGUCCUCUGCCCACACACAUGCCUGCACACUUUCUGAGUGAACCCUAACCCUAAUCCUAACACAAACAAAGGCAAGCCUUAGUACUGCUUUUCUUUGCUUUCCAUUUUAAUUUACUGUAUAAUGCACACUCGGUCUGUGGAAGUGAGAGAGCUGUAUUUAUGCCUUUACAUUACAGCAUACACAUUUUUCUGUGACCCUACUCUAUCUCUGUGAAAGAGACAGCUUGUGCUUGCUUUCGAAUGUUCUGAUCUUUAGUUCAGCCCAAACUGGCUACCCACAUGUGCACAUGCACAGG